CGUUAUGGUGGCUGUGCGUGGGGCGCCCUCGGGCGCGCCGGUUUGCUAACUCCCCGGUCUGCUAACCCGCGCACAGCCGCCACCCAU
rnacentral:antisense_RNA from 1 species